UCCGAGUUAACCCCGGCAGUCUCCCGCGAGUCCCCACCAUUACGUGCUGGCAACAUAGGAUAAGGGUUGCGCUCGUUGCGGGACUUAACCCAACAUCUCACGACACGAGCUGACGACAGCCAUGCACCACCUGUCACCGGCCCCCGAAGGGACCCCCCAUCUCUGAAGGAUUACCGGCGAUGUCAAACCCAGGUAAGGUUCUUCGCGUCGCAUCGAAUUAAUCCGCAUGCUCCGCCGCUUGUGCGGGCCCCCGUCAAUUUCUUUGAGUUUCAGCCUUGCGACCAUACUCCCCAGGCGGGGCACUUAAUGCGUUAGCGCCGGCACUCACGGGGUCGCUCCCGCAAGCACCUAGUGCCCAUCGUUUACGGCGUGGACUAC
rnacentral:misc_RNA from 1 species